rnacentral:rRNA from 1 species
UGGGGAAUAUUGGACAAUGGGCGCAAGCCUGAUCCAGCCAUGCCGCGUGGGUGAAGAAGGCCUUCGGGUUGUAAAGCCCUUUUGUCCGGGAAGAAAUCGUACGGUUGAAUAUUCCGUGCGGAUGACGGUACCGGAAGAAUAAGCACCGGCUAACUUCGUGCCAGCAGCCGCGGUAAUACGAAGGGUGCAAGCGUUACUCGGAAUUACUGGGCGUAAAGCGUGCGUAGGCGGUUCGUUAAGUCUGUCGUGAAAGCCCUGGGCUCAACCUGGGAAUUGCGAUGGAUACUGGCAAGCUAGAGUACGGUAGAGGAUGGUGGAAUUCCCGGUGUAGCGGUGAAAUGCGUAGAGAUCGGGAGGAACACCCGUGGCGAAGGCGGCCAUCUGGACCAGUACUGACGCUGAGGCACGAAAGCGUGGGGAGCAAACA